UACGUAGGGACCAAGCGUUGUUCGGAUUUACUGGGCGUAAAGGGCGCGUAGGCGGCUUGACAAGUCACUUGUGAAAUCUCCGGGCUUAACUCGGAACGGCCAAGUGAAACCGUCAUGCUAGAGUGCAGAAGGGGCAAUCGGAAUUCUCGGUGUAGCGGUGAAAUGCGUAGAUAUCGAGAGGAACACCUGCGGCGAAGGCGGGUUGCUGGGCUGAUACUGACGCUGAGGCGCGAAAGCCAGGGGAGCGAACGGG
rnacentral:rRNA from 1 species